rnacentral:rRNA from 1 species
AGCGAACGCUGGCGGCAGGCCUAACACAUGCAAGUCGAACGAAAUCUUCGGAGUUAGUGGCGGAUGGGUGAGUCACACGUGGGAACGUGCCUUUUGGCUCGGAAUAACUCAGGGAAACUUGUGCUAAUACCGAAUGUGCCAUUCGGGGGAAAGAUUUAUCGCACUUAGAGCGGCCCGCGUCGGAUUAGCUAGUUGGUGGGGUAACGGCUCACCAAGGCGACGAUCAGUAGCUGGUCUGAGAGGAGGACUAGCCACAAUGGGACAGAGACAAGGUGCAGAAUCGUAGGGGAGGCAGCAGUGGGGAAUAGUGGAGGAUGGGAGCAAGCCUGAUGCAGCCAUACCGUGUGGGUGAAGAAGGCCUUCGGGUUGUAAAGCACUUUUGUUGGGAAAGAAAAGAAGCAGGUUAAUAACCUGCUGUUCUGACGGUACCAAAAGAAUAAGCAACGGCUAAGUUCGUG